UCCCCUUUCUCUUCUUCGCAUCUUUCAGACAUGGCUACGCUCAAUAAGAACCCAGAAUAGCGAAGUUGCAGUGAGCAGGACCUCUCUUUCUUUCACCAAAGGUGAUCCUAACCCAUACUCAACCCAAGACAAACAAAUAUUAAAAGUAACACAAAUUGCCAAACUGCAAAACCAUAUUCAAAUCCACUGGUACAAAAAGAAAAAAGAAAAAAGAAAGAAAGAAAACACAGAGAGGAAGAAAAAGAAACCAUAUUCAAAUCCACUGGUACAAAAAGAAAAAAGAAAGAAAGAAAACACAGAGAGGAAGAAAAAGAGAGACCUGAACGGGAUUGCAACGGUGAACAAAAACGAGAAGCUGAACGAAGUCGCUGAUGUGAGAAGUUACUUUGGAGAGAUCGAUAAGCGGUCCAUACUAGUAUCUCUGCUCUCAAGAGAUCAGUCCACGGAGUCGACGGGAAAGAGGUUGAUGGUCGACGGUCGACGGUCGACGGUCGACGAGAAAAAGAUUGACGAUCGGGGGGAAUCGGGAUUGAGGAGAACAGGGGUUCGGGGGGGGGGGAAUCGGGAGAUUGGAGAAUGGGAUUGAGGGGUUCGGCGAAAGGGAUGGACUCAGAGAGUGCUGGGUUGGGUUGGGUAUAAUAGGUCUCACAGAGUGCUGGGUUGGGUUGGGCAACUAAAUCGGUUUUUUCGGUUUGAUCGGUUAUUUAACAUGUUUAAACCGAACCGAACCGAAAACCGAAUAAUUUUAAAUAUACUAACCGAACCAAACCGAUCAUCCCGAUUAACCGAACCGAAAAACCGAAAUUAAUCGGUUCGGUUCGGUUUUUCGGUUUAAACCGAAAUCUGCACAGGCC
rnacentral:lncRNA from 1 species